CCUUCGAUAGCUCAGUUGGUAGAGCGGAGGACUGUAGACUACUAAUGUGGUGAUCCUUAGGUCGCUGGUUCGAAUCCGGCUCGAAGGA
rnacentral:tRNA from 2 species